UGUGGUUAAGUUACUAAGGGCACACGGUGGAUGCCUUGGCGCUAGGAGCCGAAGAAGGACGCAGCGAACUGCGAUAAGCCUCGGGGAGCGGUAAGCACGCUUUGAUCCGGGGAUCUCCGAAUGGGGAAACCCACCAUCUGUAAUGGGAUGGUAUCCGUAUCUGAAUACAUAGGGUACGAGAAGGCAGACCCGGUGAACUGAAACAUCUAAGUAGCCGGAGGAAGAGAAAACAAUAGUGAUUCCGUCAGUAGUGGCGAGCGAACGCGGAAGAGCCUAAACCGUCGGGUUUACCCGGCGGGGUUGUGGGGCGUCUCACAUGGAGUUACAAAAGACGCGCGUAGGUGAACAGCUUGGGAAAGCUGACCAUAGAGCGUGAUAGUCGCGUAACCUAAACGCGCGUCUCUCCGAGACCAACCCCGAGUAGCGCGGGACACGUGAAAUCCCGUGUGAAUCUGGCAGGACCAUCUGCUAAGGCUAAAUACUACCUAGCGACCGAUAGUGAACCAGUACCGUGAGGGAAAGGUGAAAAGCACCCCGGGAGGGGAGUGAAAUAGUACCUGAAACCGUGUGCUUACAAAUAGUCGGAGCCCGUUAAAAGGGUGACGGCGUGCCUUUUGUAGAAUGAACCGGCGAGUUACGGUAGCGUGCG
rnacentral:rRNA from 1 species